CUGUUUUGACUACCCCAUUUAAAUAAGGAAAAGUUGUUUUUUCUUAAUUCCUUUUUCUAUUUUCUUUUUCCUUGUUUUUAUUUGCUCUCUUCUCCUCACGCCGAACCAGUGCUUCUCCUCCCGACUCCUUCCCCGCGCCUGCUCCCCCUUGCGGCGAAUCUGCCCUAACCGCCGACUGUAGCGGUUCCUCCCUUUAUCUUCUCCUCUUCUCGGUGAAGCCGAGCCUUUCCUCCCAACGCCACCCCAUGCCCUAGCCUCUCCUCCCUCACGUGCGCCACUGCCGUUCCGACGCCGAGACACCGCCGGCCACAGGAACUCCAGUCGCCUGAGCCCUAGCCGGUGCCACCACAGUCCUCUUCCUCUACAGACUUGGUGUCUCUGUUCCCUAGCGCCGGGCCGGUCUUCUUUCCUCCGUGCUGCCAGAGCCGACCUUCGUGCUCUAGCACCAUCGCCGGCUACCCCUCCGAGGAGUGCCCUAGCGCCGGCAGCCAACCAAUCUGCCUACACGGGUUCUCUGUGCCAUUGUCCCCUUUGUGCCACACUUCCUUCCACGGGCUGAUCUGUGGCCAAGCGAAAGAAGUCGCCAAUCUAGCCUCAAGACCAGUGCUGGAUUCUCAGCCUCAGGUUGCUGUGAAGUUGCCGACAGUGAGUAAGGUGAUCAGACCACAAGGUGCUGAUUUGGAAGGGUUGACUUGCUAGGCAAUGACUCCACCUCGCUCCGGAUAGGAUUAUUGGCAGCAACUUUGCCUACUGUGCUGCAACAGCGAAUCUUCUCCUGCUGUGAUUUGAGGUUGAUGCUGUCAGGAGAGAGUUCCAAUCGCUAGUCCCCUGCUGAUCACGAGGGCUUAGUAUCAAAAGGAUCAUGGACCCGAUCAGAUCAGGCUGCAUUUGGACUCAAAUCAAGGGUAAUCCAGUCGAUCAAGCCUCGGAGCAUUAUAGGUCGUUCAUCCAAGAUUGAGCAGAUCUGAGCCAUCCGUUGAAGAUCUAGCCGAUCCAACUUAAUGGGGAGCAGAUCUGAGCUAUUUAUGAAGA